rnacentral:lncRNA from 1 species
ACGAGAUGAAUACAGAGGUUAAACGAGCAUCCCACACCCAAAAGGUGCCCCACAUAGGUCUUCCCCGAAACCCCCCAGUAACUAAGGUAAACAACGUAAAAAAAGCACCCAUUUCUGUACCGGUUCCGCAAGAGCGAAGAAAAAGGGGAUGUUUUGUUAAUAGGAAUAAGAAAGUGUUUAUAGCCGUAGCGAUAUAAACAAGAAUACUCAUCCGAGCCGCAGGAACGUGUACAUAAAGAAUACGAGAAUUUCCACCUUGUUGAAGAUCUAAUGGUGCUACCCGAAGACUUAAAUGAAUAGCCAUCGCUGAAAAGAACAACCGAGAUCCAAUGGAAAUUUCCGCAUAGCUUCUGGUCUUUGACAUCAAAAAAGAAGGUUGUAAUAACGAAAGGGACAUCUGAUAAUUUUGUCCUAGCUAGUGGAACAAGAAAAAGAGCUGUAUGAUAAGAGUCCUUAUCCUACCCACCCAAUUUAUUUAGUUUAUUUUAUGGGAGUAGCAAGAACAGCUCAAUUUAAAAGGUUAGCCGCGUACCAAAGAGCUCGAUCAGCUAUUCUAUUUUUCAGUCCGGUUGACGCCACCCGAUAGGAAGAAAAGAGCAGAAAGGUUUUUCGAAGGCUUCAAGCCCUGUUUCAGCUGAGAGCAUUGAUUCCCCUGGCACCUCUCUUCCACAGCUUGGCACGUUUAAAGAAGGUGCCUACACUAAAGUGUACAAAGUGGCAUAAAGUUAUUCUUUUCGGGUUCGGUCAGGAGGGACAAAAGAGAGAUGCUUUCUAUCAGUCAAAAGCUGAUACCGCCCCCCCUCAUGCUCCCACGGUCCGCUUACCGAGGAAUAGAAAGGGAGAAUAAUAGAUAGAUAUCUAAGCGUAGAAAGAUUAGCUAACGAAUGCUCCUAUCCUAAGGGAAUGAGUGCUUUUAGAAACUAGGAUUCCGCUUGGCCGCUCUGAACUCUUGGUUUCAGCUCUUAACAAGAAUUGCCAUAGUUGAAUGUGAACAACUCGAUUGGUUAAGUCAUUUACCCGGUUAUAAGGAAGACUAGCUAGAAAUCCUUCUCACUUCAUUUCUCGAUAUGAAGAAUAGCCGCUUAGUUUCGGUUUCGUAGUCAAGGGAUGAGACUUUACUUCUUCCCCCGCUUAGGCACCUUAAGCGCUAGUUCUGCUUAUAAGAUAAUAUCGCUUUGUAAUUCAAUUCUUCCUAUUCUCCUGCUACAAAUGCCAAAACAAACACUAAUUAAGUCUAAUGCGCUGCGCCCGAUUGAGCGAGUUACAGUCAGUUCAGUCUAGCUUAAGGCCCUAUUGAGAAGGGGAGGGUAGGAGUCUUCUUCAGCCUUUGUGGGAGCCUAAUAGUAUAGGGUAGUCGGAAUGUGUUGGCAAGAAUAGUUGAGAAUCAGCUGUUAUAGGCUGCAAGAAAUAAUCUCUUAGGAAUCUCUGUCUCUAUGUCAUCAAACGGUUUGAUCAAUAGAAUUAUAAGAGCAGGGGGCAUCCAUAGUAGGAAGAGGACAAGGAAGUGAUUGAUCGGAGUUUGCCGGGCCAGGAGUUGAAGAAGGAGCUAGCAUUUCUUCAGUGAUCAAUCUCGUUCCAACAAUUGUUCUUACUCGUUUAGGUCAACUCGUCAAUCCGUAUCUAAUAGCCGCCGAAAGCCAAAGCUUCACUCUAGGUCGAAAUCACUGCCUUUCGAUCAAUCCUUUAGAUUCUCAACAUGACAUUAGACUUUUUCCUUAGAGAAGCGGGUGAAAGGCGGUUUUUCUACUACUUGGAAGAGAAGCUGGGUAGCUCCGUAAUCUGUCAAGGAGGUGGCUUUCGCCUAUAAGGACAGUUGGAGUUGAUGGUCCUAGUUCUGUUACAGUAAGAGCUGUUGCUGGAAUAACAGGUGUUGAUGGAAUAGAAGCUCUUCCUGCUCUCGUAUCCGAUGAAGAAUAGGCCCAAGGGACAUCCAUGGACAACCGCCACCCACGUGGUUUAGCUAAUUCAAUAGCCUUCGGAGAAAAGCGACAAGUACCACUGGACAAGCAAAUCACUUUUGGAAUAACCUUUAAGGAUCGGAUCCUCUGACGGUGAAAUGCCGGAAUGAUGUGAGGAUAUCCCGAGCGAGUCAGCUAAACUAAACAGAGACGGAAAUCUAAGUACUAUUCUGGCCAGCGUAUGCUUGUUGAAUUUAAGGCAUACCGCACACUGCUUCAAAUAGAAAGAUAUUGGUUUAAUCCCCAAGCCUCGCCAGAAGACGUUCCACAUAAGCAUUAUUUCAUCUUGUUCCUUGAGCAAUUGAGGAAGCGAAGCGGGCUGCUUGUCUUGCCUCGAGCCCAUAAGAGAAGUACUGCUCUGGACUAGGAUGGUGCUGUUCUGCUUAAAACUAGGCUAGGAAAUGGGCCUAACUCCAUUCGCUGAUGAACCCUUAACCUCGGGCGGUAUGCUUGGUGACGCGUGCCGUCUACUCUGCUUGAGUGCAUACACUAGGGUAGGGCUAUCAAAGUGAGCAGUUUCCCCUGUUCACUAUGGCUGAAGUCAGUUUGCAAGACAAAGUCUAGUUUUUACUUUGAGUUCCUAUUUUACGAACAUAUAAGAAGCAUUCCACAGUCGUAGGUUCUUCUCUUUCUCUGGCAAAAAAAAGAAAAAGCUUAUUAUAAUCCGAUCUUUCAACCGCACUUCAUGGCAAAGCGGUCUUCUUUCAAAGAAUCUCCGUCCCUAGUCCCCACGUCUGGGGAACUUCUGAACUUCAUGUUCACAUCUUUGUCUCCCUCUUUCAAGUGAGUUCAGUUAGCCCUUAGGGUCAGAAGAGAGCUCAUCUUUACUUCCUUUCCAAAGCUACUGAUUCUCUUAUAGCCUUCGUUCCCCGAGGGAAAGAAUCAAUUCUAAUUCUAAAAUUAUAUAAAUAAAUAGAUAUGAGCUGAUCGUCCCCCCCCAGAAAAGGCAUUAGUUCGUAUAAUGAUCAGUAACAUGAGUAGGCAAUACCAUUACUAUUUCGAUUUCCAAGCGAUGCCCACUACAGCUGGGAAUCCCCGCAUCAAACUCCUGCCGAAGAUUGAUGAAACACAAGACGAUCUGGGACAUCGAAACUGUUCGUAAUAGGCCGAAGAAUGGUGCAUUAGAUCCGGUAGCUACCGAGCGUAGAGUUAGCUUUUGGCAGCUCAUGAACCGACCGAAGGAGGGGUUGACUCUGCUGCCGGGCUUUGAGGAAUGGGAGCGGCUUUGGAAUCCGCGUAAGUAGAAGUGGGUCACCCCAUAUAAGUAAUAUGGGCAAGUACGCGAGAUGUAACCAAUAUCUUUAUAUUUUUCAACGAAGUCCUUCUUUCAGCAAAAUCGAAGCCCCUUAGUGCAAUCGAUUUCAGUAUGCCGGUUUAAUUUUAAGAGAAAGAGGGAAGAAAUCCUUACAAUCUCAGAACCAAGGAGAGAAGGUGGCGAAGGAUCCGGAUUCACUUUUUUCAUACCCGGCUCAAAGCGUAAAGGGCUUUUCCUGAUUAAGGAAGAAGCCUAGAAGGCAGAACUCUGAACUAAGCCCAAAGGCUAGAUCCCAUUUCAGUAGUUCAAGUAGAGAUUUUAGGCUAGCCAGCUUUCAGUGCAAAGGAAAGAUGUAUUGAUAAUCUAUAGCAUAUUAUAAAAGACGGAGCUACCAAGCAAAGAAGUGAAAGGCCUAUCAUUUAUAACAAUAGUUGUCCUAACCUGUCACAGAGUUUGAACAGGUCUAAGAGCUAAUCAUUCUACCCGUUAGAAUAUUUAUAGCAGUAAUAAGUAAGACCAGUACUAGGAUUGGCUUAAGAAGUCCAAAUCUCUGACUAGCUCCCCCCGUAAAUGGCAUAUCCCUAGGUAGACAACAAGUUCUGGGUAUAGUGAUACAAUCUAUUGGGUCUAGUCAUACUAAAAAAAAGGGUAGGUGUAAAGGUACUUUUAUUACCCGGUGAAUUGAUUGCAGUCCCUCUGGCAUAACCCCCUCACCGAAGUGAUCAAGCAAGUGACACUAGUUAGAAGGGUAGAAAAAAAGAGCUUCUAGAAAGAAAAUGAGUGCUUCUCUGGAAAGGGAGUUUUCCUUAGAGUUCAGGAUCCGUUAGGGCGAGGAAAAAAGAGCUGGCUAAAUACAGAUCGGUACAAGUCCUACAAGUAGCCCUUUCUAGCUCCAAUGCGGAUAACGAAAAGAGAACAAGGACUAAUAGACCAGUAGACCAAUAGGCCAAGUUACACGGCUAAAAGGAAAGCAACUCUUUUCUUAGGAUUGGCUACUUCACUCAUUCAAUAGCUGGUUAAGAAAAGAAGGCUUUCAGUGCAGUAGGAAAGAGAGGUUAGAGUUGGAGGAGUGCCAAGCUUGACCCGAUCUAAGGACCUGAAAGCUUCGACACAGGAGAUUAGGACAGAGAAGUUAGCGGUAGGGGUCUUUCCUCUCCGUUACCUUGUUGGGUCAACCAAUUGCAUUACUUCUUUCGGAAGCUUAUUUAUGUGGGAUUCUUUCUGAAAAAGCAUUCUAGUUGUGCUUUACCUUUCUCCGCUCUCCCCGGCUGUGCCGUACCGGUGAACUGAACUCGAGUUCGUUCUAUUCGUUCUGAAUGCUAACCUAACAUCGCCCUUGGUGAUUGGCCAAUUCCAAGGUCUUUCUCAAUAGAGCUCUACUAAUGAAAUAGGGGUGGCGAAACCAAGGCUUUCAGUCCCUCUCAAUGGGUAAAUCGGGGUAGACCAGCACUGUUAAAAGCUACUCCCAGCCAUGUUCCCGCUCGGUUUCAAGUCUAUUCCGUAGCGACUGCCCCAGGUCCUCCGCCCAACUCACGACAGUUGGUACAUUAGUGAAAGAUGCAGUUCCCUUACCUAUUCGUUUUAGAUAUUUUAGCUUUAGCUAGAAUCAACCCCCAAUAUAGAGGGCACCCACCUUCCAUUCCUUAUUUUCUUUGUUGUUUGACAUGUUCUCACUCUUUUAAAAACUAACCUCUGGAGUGCCUGAAGUACGAGAAGUCCCUUCCAACGACAGUUAUACUAUAAGUACAUCCACCCGCACCAUUCGACUUCCUGCCCGGCGUACACUUUACUUUGGGUUAGAAAGCAGGGCGAGCGACAUAGAAUGUAUUCCAUUGGUCCUUGGCUUCCACCUACAGCGAAUAUGGAGCAAUUACCGUUCAGAAUAAGAGAAGUAGGAAGAGAUUCAUAUUUACUGAGAUCACCAGAUCGAAGGCAGGGGUUUUUUUUUACAGCGAAAAACCUCCAGAAUCAAAGAGUUUAGCUUAGAGGAGGCACUCAUUUAUUCGUAUGUAAGGGAUAUGCUAUUUUUUCUCCUAACUUGCUUAUGGAUUGGAUUCUCCGUUUGGUGGUUUAGCAUACCAGAGCAAUUGCUUGUAAAUCCGAGGGCUCUUUCCUAUCCUGAUCUAGAGCUAGUAGUUAGGGUGGUAAGGGACACAUUCCAGAGCCAUGUUUGCAGCUCUCAUCAUGUCCCCAGCCCGUGCGAAUGUGGGGAGCUCCUUAAGCAGCGCAAGAUUUAUUUGCUCCGAAGGAACCCUUUGAUCCACUCGGGGUAAACAACGCGAACUGGAAGAAGUUUGACUGAGGGACCAGCUUACUCAGGUUGAGGGAAAUGAAAGCAUCAAGAGAACCCAAGGCUUGAUGGGAAUAGUGAAAGAAAAGAAAGAGAAGUGGACGAAAGAAUUGAAUCCGGUAAGGAAUAAGUGUUGCUUUGGCUUAAUUGCUUGAACCAGGUCUAGCUAGGCUGGGAGUCGAUUAGCCCGAGUUGUGUUAAGAUAAGUGGCACUUGAAUUUGAAGUAGCCAUCGGCCAGGUCUUGGAUGCUGAAUGAUAGGUCUUACCACUUGUAUCGAAAGACCCACUUUUAAUUCAUGCUGAGGAGAUUGAUUGAAAAUAAAAUACGGAUCCUGAUCUUGGAACUGCUUGAAGUCAAAACAAAGCGUGAACCAGGUCACAGGUAUUUCUUGCUAAUCUGGUGAUAUCGUAAUAAAGGUAAAGUAGCCAAGAGGAAUCGAAUACCCUAUCAGGGUAGACCGAGAAUAGUUAGCAGGCGAGACAGAUAUUGAAUUAACGGAAAGGACCUUCCCUGCAAAAAAUUCCAAAGCAGCGCGAAAGAAAGACUUCCUUCUUAUUGCGUUCGUGCCCUACGACUAGUAGUUCACUCACUCCCUUAGGAAGACUAAGGUCAAUUCAGCUAUCUCUCGGGCCUAACUAUCCGAGUGAUACCCUCACUUUAAAUGCCCUCACGGAUACCUUCUUAUACCCUUAGGAAGACUUAAGGGAGUUAACCAAUCUCUAUCUCUCUUUCCGCUGCUAACUGCAAAGGCACGUGAGGGAAUGGUAUGAAUGAAUUCAGGUAGGUAAGGAAGGCAUAACAGCGGAUAUCCUAGAGAUAGAUAGAUGAUCUCGCCAUUUUGUGCUGGCCCCUUAGAUUAGAAGAGGAUUCUCAGCCCGCCUUGCUCACAGUAUAUGAUAUGACGUGCUAAUGAUGUUUCCGGGUACUUUGGUGGAAGCAUUCUUUAAUCCUGAGGAUUGAGGAUAAUCUGGCUUUCUUUGCAGAACAGUCGAGGAAGGAAUCCUUAUAGGAUGAUUAAUAUGGCUGCAUUUACAGACGACGACCUAUUCUUAUUAUUAGGUUAGGUUAUUAGGGACGAGGAGCAUAAUAGUCCUCUGUAUGGCACAGGGACCAGCCAAGAAACCACAAUCAAUAGAAUCUGACCCAGGUUCUUAAGUCAAUUUGAUCACCCUGCAAAAACUUCGGCAUCUGGAUUUGGAUGUACAGCAUCUAUCCAGGAAAAGAUUUUAUUCCAAGGGCGUAGCGUUCAAUCUGCCUCAACGAGCUUUGCAACUUCAACAAGGAGUGGAAAGGGCCCCCCUAUCAUAGGCGGCCGAAGGCACAGCCUGUUUAACAACAGCAAGAAAAAGGACAAUUUAUUCUUCUCUCUAUACGAAAUAAAUGAUACGCGAAAUCUGGCCGAAAAAACUCAACCUGUGAGAGCUCAUUCCCUUUUUGAAGCAAUGAAUUAUUUUUUUACGACGAUAGGAUACCACCGGAUGCGGUUUUUGUUAUGAACUGACAAGAUCUAAGUCUCCCCUUCCGCCGCUGGACUGGAACGAAGGAACUCGAAAAGGGAUCACCAACAGUUAUUUCGAUCAUCACUGUACGAUAAUAGUUGACUUGUAUAACAACCCUUAUCUGAAAGUAGUCUAAGUUGAUGACUUUGUUAUAGUAGUUAGACAGCGUAUCUGUUAGAUAAUAUCCUUAUUGUUAGGACUUUUUGUUGAGCGAAGGGACCAUGGGAAUAUGGGUCCCGAGCGGUUUAUCAUUGCUUUAUCUAUUCUAUUGGGAGUGAGGGAACGGAUCGUUGGCCGUUGUCUUGUUUCCUGUGCUUGUUUUCCCGUGGUUUAACUUCAAUAAUUAUUAUAUAUAUUAAUAAAAAAAAAGUAUGUCACCGCUAAGAAUAGCUACCAAUGCAAACCAGUUUGUCUUUUAUUAUAAUAAUCCAGUAGCAAGCAAGUCGAAAGAAAGGGAAGGGAUUCUGAUCCAACCAGCAAGGCAUACCACUUAACCAAGCUCUUUAUGAGCGGUAUCCAUCUUCACCUUAUUCAACUCUACUUAGCCUCCGGCUUGGGCGUGGUGAAGCAAGGUCUCGAUCGACAGAUCUAGUGGUCAGUCACCGUCCAUAUUUGAUUCUACGGCCAAUGCUGCUAAAUUCAAAUAGCAAUUAAACCGGGAAGCCCUAGCCUUGAAACAAGGGGCUUUUUUACUAAUAUAUAAAUAGAAAUCUGAUAAAGAUGCCUAGUCUGCGCUGUUAGAAUCCAUUGGAGAAAGGCUUGCUCACUUCUUCAUCUGUGAGAUGAUCGUAUUAUAAGUUAUAAUAAUGGGAUUGGACCUUGCUUCCAUCCCCUCUUUAAGAGACUCCAGAAAGUCGUUGACCCAUAGAUGUAAUAGCCGAAAUGUUUUCCUUUACGCCAUAGGAACUAGUAUAGAAUUAUAAAUCCUUACUCUGCGAGAAAGAACUACGAUAGAGAGAAGAGCAAGGCAGUAUGUAAUAGGGUGCUCUCUCUUAUGGUUAAAUUAGCGUUCUCUAAGAUAGCUAUCAUCUGGUAUGAUCGUUCUCUCCGGUGUCUAUGAUUUGAGAUUUAGCUUCUGUCAGUAUCUUUCUAGUUCGCUAUCAUUUUGAUUUUAGCGUCCUCUUGUUAGAAAGAAGAUAGGCCAGGUUGAAUAGAUAGGAGUUCAGAAACCUUCUCCCGAAGUUACGGGGGCAUUACCCGCGGGUGUGGGGCUGGAUUUCUAUAUCGUAUAUAUACGCGGUCACACUUAUCCUGGACUGUGUUACGGUUUUUUUAGAGACAGAGAGUAAAUUGGAAAUACUACUUAAGUUAAAGGGGGAUAGACCGUCUAGCCAGUGCCGCUACCCACUUCUACUAAUACUAAGGCUGAAUCUUUGCAAUCUUCUAUUUUGUUGAAUAGCAAUUUCCUAUAAGAAGAUAGGUACUCACAAAGGCAGACAUCCAGUUUCCAUCGUAGUGCUAGACCAUGUUGGGGCUUCGUGUCCUGCCCCCCGGAAAUCACAGCCCUCUAGAUGGUAUGGUACAAAGAAGAUAGCUCAGACAUACAUCCAAUCUAUAUACAGCGUGAUCCGUGUUAUGAUAGAAGUAUAAGUUGUUUAUACUUUUGAUAUAGGCCUCUUUUUCUCUUCCUCGAUAUAAGGAAGCAAAAAAGGAUCGCGUGUAGGCAUCCAACUGAUAUUUUGAUAUAGAAAGAUCUUACCCAAGACGAUCAUCCGGGUAGUAGGAUUGGGCCUGCAGUGGUAGAACCUGCUUUGAUAGAAAAUAGGAUCAAAGCCACUUCCUCUGCUUUUCUUUCUGGAUACCAAAGGGUUCAGGGGCAUAGCCUAGCACGAUUACUACAUAGAAAGAAUUUAGCUUGCUCGGGCGUAUUUCAUGCUUACACCUAAAGGUGUCCCCAGUUCUAUUCCUUUUUUUGUUCGGAUCAGACGGUGGUGAGCAAUCGAUCGAGAGCAAGGGAUGCUAGCGCUCUGAUCCUCAUAUUCCUUGCUUCAGUUGGUUCAGGAAGCGCUAAGCGCACUACACUAAUAUAAGAAAGCGUAGCGGUUCGGAAUCAAAUCCGCUCUUUCAGCGAGUCUUCUUUUAUCCACAGAAUCCGAUGCAGUUAGCGAGAGUCGUGGUAGUUCAGUUCGAAAGGCAGUUCAGUCAUUUUGGGGUAGAAAUCCUAAAAAAGGUAUGCCCAGCCCUUCUUUCUUGCUGUGAUUCCAUUUCCUGCACUAAGCCAAGUUAGCUCAUCUUAGGGUUUUUUUUUCUUAUUAAGAAAGGCUUAAGUUCUUCCUUUAUUAAGGCAAGGUCCGAGAGUAAGAUGGCUAUCUUUUCAGCUCUUCUGACUAUGCUUUCCGUGGUAGCUAGGCUUAUAUCAAACCAGACUAGUUCCUGGUGGUUUAGUAAUUUAGUAAGGGCUUUAGCAAAAGACGUAACUGCUCUUGUCGGGGCUACUAGAUGGUAAAGAUAUGCCACACCUGGACCAGGCUAAAAACGAGGAGUCUUCCCUUUUCGGGGUUAGACUCUAUAGAACCAGAACAAUAGACUGAUUGACUGUGGUCAGGUCAGAGCCCUCUGUUGGAGGAGAUUGAUUGGACUUUAUACCGUACCUUACUUAGUCUUCCGCUGGACCUGGAUUCUCUAAAGCUUAAAAAUAGAAGUACCCCUAGGGUAGGGGGAGGAGGAAUUUACUUCUGUAAAAAGGAGAUCGCAGAUAAAACCAUUUCAUCUGUAUCUGGCACUCACUUCUUUACUUGGCUUAUCUAGUAGACUGUUUUUAGCGGGAGAAAACCUUUAGCUUUAGCAAGUACUACUCUAACUACUCCAGGAUAGUAUAACCGAUUAUCUCAUAAAGCCGUUGAAUUGCCCUUGGUUGUCUUACCCAUUUGUUAUAUCUUAUUCCCACCUUGUUCUAUUGCUUUUUCUCGAUUGUAUUCUGGGGCGCUAGACCUCAUUCUCUUUGAUACGCUUAUUCAAUUGACAUUGCCCCUUCCUCCUAUUUAGAAAAUAUUAAGUAAGAUGGCUUGUGAUGUGCCAGGGCUUAGAGGGGUCGGCGCCAACAACGGCUGCCUUUACUCGACAGUACACGUUCGCUUCGCUCACUAAAAACAAGCAAGGGAUACAACCAGCUUUCGCUUCCUUGUGCAGAGCUAACCCUUGUUUUAUGGGUUUGGCGGUUGCUACCAAGACGAUUUCUUUAUGCCCAUCAAAGGACCUCGAGAUGCUAAUCCACGAAAAACGAUACGAGAAAUUCGAAAGAACUCAUAUACGGAACGAGGGCGACCCGUGGAAAUACAUCGGUUUCUUACUCGUGCAAAGGAACUAUUUCUUGGCAACUUGGACAACUUAUAACGAAGUUUGUCCCGCAUAUCACUAGGAAGAUCGGAAUCUUUUCAAAAGGCUUUAUAAAGCUUUCGUCUCAAUUCAUAUUUAGCCGCGAGCAAUCUGCGUUUGUGAUCUCGUAUAUUUCGCUUCUCCGACAUCUCUUACUGAGUUUCUCCCUCAUCCUCAUCUUCAUCUUUUUGAGCCGCUCCACGGUGGUACGGAACACAUUCUAAUUCCCACUGAAGCUAGUACGCAAUGAAGACCAAUCCGCGAGCUAAACUAGAACAUAAAAUAGCAGACAAGCUUGCGUCUCCGUCUUGGCUAGAAUCCUUCCACUCUUUCUCCUACAAGCCACUCAUGCAUGCAGUCUAGCUCUACUUAUUCUUUCUACGAGAUAUCUUGUUCUUGGAGCAGCUGAGGAAGGAAAUUUACAUUGCGAAGAAGUAGCUCUAUGCUCUGGGGAAGGCUAAUAUGAUGACAAGAUGGCCAUACUAUAUAUUUGGUAUUCGUGGGAAUCAGAUUCAUUUUUAGCGGAGAUCCUUUCGUAUCGGGUGAAAUCAGAGCUUGAGCGUCUGGACUCUGGGCGUUCGAGCUACAGUUUUUUAAUAAGGGCCUUAAAUUUUAAUAAAAGGAUAUUUGACUUACUUAUCUUUUUAGCCCGACGAAGAAGUUAUAUAGAUACUGGGAAAGCACUCACCCAUACUACUACUACCAUACGUCAUUUUCCCAUUGGCUACAUUCCGAUCACUAAGGAGACCAGGGGAGGUUGUCUUUUUUUUUAAGAACCUUCUUACUUUUUAGCUACCCUUGCCUGAAAGCGCAAGAGACCAAGGAAAGAAAGGAAGGAAUAUCAAAUGUAGUGCUAGCUUCCCCUGAAGCGCCCAUGCUUACUACUUAAAUAUAACAAGAACAACACGACUUGGAAUCCCCAUUUCAGGAAAAGGUUGUACUAGCACCUCCUAUUAAGUUAAGUAAGGCAAGAGCCCAUUGCCAGCUCUCCUCCGGGCGGGCCUCCCCCCAAAGACUAAUUUUCUAAGCCUUCGUUCUGAGUUUUCUUCUCUUAUGCGGUAAGUUCGUCUCAUUAGGGAAUCGUUGUCUAUCAUUUAGAUAUUUGUGCAUCCCCGAGCCUGAUAGUGAUUCCUGAGGACCUUCGGAACAGAGUCAAUCAAAUGAAUAGCUGUCAUAAUAGAAUCACGGUUGACUAAAGGAACAAGAUGAUCUUUCUUUCCCAUGCUCUUCCAGACCUAUCCAUAACGAGGGGUCCCUGAGUGGCAUCUUCAUUCGAUAGGUUUCUUUAAAAAGGGCACAUUAUGAGACUAAGAUAGCCUGACUGUUCUUAUGAGCGGACUCACUUUAAAGGCUUCCAUGUAUCAAUCAGUCCCUCCCUCCCGUCUCGGUAGCUCGGUGGUAGAGCGGUUGACGGUUCACGUCGUGAUCCGUUGAUGAGCGUUGGUUCAAAUCCGAGAUUUUUAACUAUACAUAUAUUAAUAAGUAAGUUCUUCGCUUUCUGAAUGAAUGUCAGAUCGGAACUAAAAGGAGAAUGUGGUCAUAGGAUUUGGUCUCAAAUAGAUAGAUUUGAAAUGGCUAUCAAAGGUAUGUAAUGGGGCUAGAAGCAAUAGGAAUAAGACUUGUUGCGAAGAAUACUAGUUAAUUGGAAUGCCCAAGUUGGCAUCUUCUGCCGGGAUCUCUCCUAAUGGCUGUAUUAGAUUUCGAGUACCUAUUGAUGGAAGAAUUUCAGGGCAUUCCACUUACAGCGACGAAGGGAAGAUUAGUUAUGAAUCACUUACACCAUCUUGGCUUUAAAUGCAAAUUCUUUCGAUUAAAUGCUCGAAUCUUAGUCUCAAACCUGACGAUAAGACUUUACAAUUUAUUGCCUUUAUGUUAUGUAUCCCGGUGCUGUAAUGGGCUCCCUCUUAGGAUGAUUCUAAGAAACCACAACUGCUGUUACUUAACUAGUAGGCUAGAAGCCCUUUCUGCCUGUCUGUGCGAAUCUAAUAGCCAAACAACCCAUAGAAAGGUUCAUGCAACGCGAAAUGAAUAUAAACCCUUCCCGCUCUAACAAUGUGUGAGCAGCCAUGGCUCUCUCUUUGACGGUUACUUCUUGAGAUAACUAAAAAAAGGCGUAAAGCCAGCCCUCCAUUAGCAUAGGAGAACCUGAUUCCAGCCAUACUCUUAGAAUAGAAAGUAACUUCUAUCUUUAGACUUGUUAGGAGUAGACAGGCUUUAGGCAUAGGCAACCUAGCUUACUCGUUUUGAUAGUUUCCGCUAUGACUAUGUUAUGUAUGUAAUUACGGUCUUUGUUGGAUAUUGUUUAACCUAACCGUAGACUUUCUAUUUUAUUUUUCAACCCAUUCAUAGGACCACCGCCUACCGCAUUCUUGCCCCGGCCUUUUAUUUCGCCCGACACAAUGGAUUCGUCAUGGGGAACCCUAGCUUGAGGCUUGCUUGUCUCAAUCAAUUUGAUUGCUUUAACUAGUCAUGCUAUGGAGAAUUCCCAUUGAGAGCCAACUGCUUCAUGCGCGGGGAUUCUGAUUGUGUGUGGUCAUAUUUCCUAUUCAUUGAGUAAAGGGCCGCGGUAGAUUAGACCCGCAAGGCUUUCAUCGGAGCACAUCGCUUUCGCUCCUUAGUUUCUCAGUGGAAGAGGACCUUUCUCGAUCAACUAUCUUACUUGAAUGAAGAAAGAAGUCAACUUUCUAUACCAAAUUAUCUGAAUAGCCGAAUAAAGGAAUUUUUUGCUUGAUAGCCACUCCCCUGAAAAACUGCAAAGAAGACGAUUCGCUACUUCCGAAUCGCUGCAUCCAGCUCCUCCAGUCUCCUCGAUUGGCCCCCUUCGCCGUUGUGAUCCCCUUAGUUAACUUUUUUAUUGUAUAUUGAGUAGAGUGCCUGUCUGUGAUUCGGGUUUGGAUAUUCUCCCGUCUUCCCUGCCGAGCAAUCCCUCUCUCUUUACCUGCUACUGUGCUAAGGCUUCCCUUCUAACAGCAAAUAGGCCAGACCAAGCGCUCGAAAGCAAGUAAAGAAUUAGCUCAGGUGAACAGAAAGAAGAUAGAAUAAAAAGAAGAAGAGGAUAUAGAAAAGGAAAGGUAUCCCCCAUUGAAGAAGCUGGUAGUUUUUCGGGUGGAUUGCUUUUCAUAGCUAUCUUUCAUACCCUUGCGAUUCUACUUUUCGGAAAGAAUGUGUUGGUAUAGAAUCUAGCAGCAAUCCUUCUUGCUAGGCUAGUCUUAACUGAAGAAGUCAUUUCUAGACUCAGCAGUUCAGCCCGCAACUCACUAACUACAGCUUCUAUCUCCUCUAGGUCCCAUUAGACUGAUCCUUAGUCCUUCUCCCCCGCAACCAGGCCUAAAUUAAGGCUUUCCUUAUGAGAUGGGAUGCUCACUAAUCGACUGCUUCUCUCGAGAUGCGAAGAAUAGCUUAAAUAAAGACUCUCUUUGGUCCUUUCGAAGCAGAUAUUCGUACGUCCAUUGGGUUACUUGAGGGUAGCACUGGUUUCGGCUUGACAGCUUUGCUUCCUCCUAUAGCAAAGUCUGACUCUUGGAUCGGAUCAACGGUUUUUUCGUAAAAGGGUCUUUCAUAUUCAAAUUACAGAUAUUAAAAAAUCUAUCCAAUUCAAAUUGUUGUACCAAGCUUCCCUUCUUUAUAAGUAAGAAUAAGUAAGAAAUAACUUUACUUGUUCAAGUCAGUCUAGCCAACUCCCCUCACUCUAUCGAGUAAGUAAUCCAUUCCCUUCGAAUCUAAGGCUCAAUGAUGGAUCCGGGCGCUUUCCAGAGGCGAAGACUGAAACUUAUAUCACCUGGCUCCGGGUGGACCAUACUCCACCUUACGUCCAGUGGGUAGCUCCGCUCAGACUUCUACUUAAAAAAAAAGGUGGUUGGACCUAUGCCUACUAUGUCUGUGAGGAAGUUGGGCUUCUACAUCUUGAUUAACCGGGUGACUCGUGGGAUGAAAUAAUAGUUCAUUCUGGAUAGCAUGGCCUGGGCUGGUGAUCUGGGAUCUAUUCUAAGUCUCCCUAUGGGAGAAGAUGAUGAAAGGAUCAAAAAAAAGCAUCUAUUGACAAGUCGGAGUCGGUCUUACUGCCUUAGCGCAUCUGUCUUUGCUCACUCCAUGUGUGUGGGGUAGGCAUCCUCCGCACAUGCGGGUGAUGCGACGUGGCUUACAGUAGACUAGACGAUAGACUAGAGAUCAUUCGGAAAGGAUCUCCCUCGAAAAUGGGGGGUCGAUCCUCCCGGUGAACUGACCGUACCCCAAACCGACCGCAUGACUGAUUGAUGUGAUGGUCUUCAGUCUACCCUCUCCCUUGUCAACUCUGAACGAAUGCUUAGUUAGCCGUGAAUGAGAACUCUUGUUGGCUGGUAGCUCCAUGUAAGGUUAGCUCGAAAGCGAGUUCGGAAGAAAGCUGUGAUUACCUGGGGUUAGGUUGACCUUCUUUCUGCGGUACGGCUAUUAGUCUUAUUAGAGUCAACCCGGAUCAGGCAUCACCCUUGACUCUCCCAUCCUUGGUAUAGCUCUCCUCUCCCAUCUGCUCUCGGGGAUAGACUAUUGAUCUGACUCUCAUGGUCAAUCAGUUUCAAGCUUGAAGGCAAGUGCCGCCUUCAUCAAGUCUUAUUGCACUAGCAUCAACUAUGGCUGUUCCCACCACCAAUACUGCUUAUUCCGCUAAAACUGAAAAGAGACAGGACAUCUUAUGCGAGACGGAAAAGUCAUAAAGUCAAGUGCUAACGUGCAGCUCCCAUUCCUCCACCAAAUCGCUAGUAUAAGUAAACAAAUCCGAAUUGGUGGAUUCGGCAGCUCCGUGAGGCAUCAUGCCAUUCCCGAUGGAGAGCCCCCCAUCGGCACUGAAUAGUGCUCGCAAAAGACAUCCUAUUGCCCAGGCAAGUCCCCCCGCGAGGCCAAAUUUAAAUAAAGCAAAGGAGAGGACUCGACUACCAAGAGAUAACCCUAUUUUAAAUAGUAGAGACUGAAAGAAAGCACAAAAACUAAGAUCACGAACGAAAAGAUAAACUUCUUUCGCAAUUCAUGCUUUUCUGUUUUUAUGACCAGAUAUUUUUUCUUGAUUUCCAUUUCAAAUUGUUCUCUGGACUUUUUAUCAAUAUGAGGUGAUCGUAACACAGUAUAUAAGACUCGUGAUUCAGGCAAUCCAAUCUUCCGUGUGUAAGGCGGAAGCCCCCCAAAAUUGUUUUCCAAAAAUGGGUGAUCAAAAGAUCGAAUCACUAUGCGUAUCUUGGUGGUCAUUACUUUCAAAUUUCUUUUUGGCUGACUCCUCUUCCUGUUCUAUUGAUCAGAAGCAUCCAGCAGCGCCACGCCAGUAGAAAGAGUUAAGCUACUAAGCUAAGUGUUGUGGAACUCGGUAGAAGCUAUUUGCCGCUUCCGCCUCUCUAGGCUUCACAAUGGCUCCCCCCCUAUAUAGAUAGAGAGUCUUCUCCCCUCAACUAUAAUUAAUAUAAGAAAUCCGAAAGGAAUUUUCAAUUCUGAAGGAUUACCCUUUUGUUUGAGCAGGGGGCUUCGAGUCCUGUGUUGACAAAGAUCAGAUAGGAUCCUGCUGUGAUCCUCGAUCUCUUCCUUAAUAUUGAUCAACGUUCUAUCGAUAAUUCCAUUAUAGAUCGAGUCAAGGGAGAAUGCUUCUUUAAAAAUAAACUAAUCAAUAUAAAACUAAUUCCAUUAAUUAGGAGGCCUAAUAUAAUCUAAUCCCCAAAUCCAUCUCUCAUUAGCUAAAGCUACCUACCUAGUUUUGCUGAAGCUCUGCCAGUAUAGCACGGUGCUCUUUUUUAGUUUUUUUAUCUAUAUUCGCUGAACACUUCCAAUACCUCACCACACCGAUUUCACAGCUCGAUAAGAGCAGCUCGACUUUCUUCGCAGCUUUCGAGCCUUCCUUAUCUUGCUUGCUCUUCUUUAAAGAAAUUGCUUGAGCGGCUUGGCUUUCAAAGAAAAUCUUACCGCAACGGCAGGAGUCUUUCUUAGUGCAAUACGUUCAACAACCCUUAAAGCGUGCGGGCGGCCCUAGCAUACAGAAAAGAAAGAAGUCGUCCUAUUCGAAAACUUAAUUUCAGUCCUAGUAGGUGCGAUAUUGAAGGCCUUCACGGGCUUACUUAGUGCUUGUGCUAAGGAGUUCAGGGCUAAGGGCUGGAGCGUAGGAAGCAUUGGCUAUCAGAACCCUCGGAGGGAACUAACUCCUUUCUUGCAAAGCUGCUUCAUGAGAAAGAAGUUGUCUGUGUAUUGGAUCCGCUCUUCUGUUAGCAUAAACAUGAAUUAGAUUCUAUUCGUCUUAUUUAUUCUUAAGAGAACCCCCCACCCGAACCAUUCUUAAGACCACCAAGCUCUCUCGAAUGAGUUCUAUUUUUUCUGCUUUCGAGAUACACAGGGGGCUAAAUCUCCUCCUAACUAAUAAGUGAAACUUUGUGCCUAGAUCGUCCUGAAGACGGAUGCGACGGGAAGAAGUGGCAUUUGGAAGUGUUGCUGACUUAACAUUUAGGUUUCGGCAUAACAAAGCUUGCACUGUCUUUUCGCACUUAGGCGCACAGCGUUCCAUUGGUAAUGAUUCAACUACGGUGCCACAAAUUCGCAAACUGAUCCUAAGUAAUCGUUGUUGUUCAUUAGAUUCCGGAGGAACGACUUCGUUAGGAUUGGGGAAUUGCUGCGAUUCUUCCUGAAUAGCCUGGAUUCUCCCGUCGAGAGUCACUUUGAAAGUAUUACCUAAACUCUUCCGACUGAAUAUGAUGAAGCCUAUAAAACAACGAGCUACUAUCAUUUCUUCAUUAUAGAUUGAUAUCUUAUUCGAACUUAAUGCACAAAUAGAUGGAAUAGCAGCAAAUAGCAUCUUUCUAGCUUGCAUAUUCCUGGAACUAAAUCUCAUAGGUUCUAUCUAUCUUUCAGCAACUAAACGGGAAGUGGUUUAGGAAAGGACUUUAGAAUCAAUCGGAUGCGCUCGCCCAGCGAUAAAGGCCCCGACCCUGCCCUGCCAACCAAGUAAAAAUAAAAAAGAAAGAAGAGAACGAAAGGAGAAAAGAGAACUUCGUAUUUUGGUAAUUCUCUAGGAGUCAUGUUUAACCUUGAAUGCUAUUAAUCAAUUCUACAGCAAUAGUCCCUCGGACUCGGAAAGUUCUAACGAAAAUGGCUAACCCAAUAGCGGAUUCCGCAGCUGCCACCGUUGAAACCAAUGAAGCAAAUGAUUGACCCAUCAUAUCAUCCGAAGAAACGGAAAAUACCAAAAAGUUCGAAUUCACAGCUAAUAACAUUGAUUCAAUUGGCAUUGACAUAAUAGGAAUAUUUCGUCUAUUAAGGAGGAUUCCCCGAAUACCUAAAAUAGAGAUGAUCAUAGAAAAUGUCAAAUAUUUGAUAGGAUCCGUUUCGGAAACGUGGAAUGUUAGAGUAAUUCAAAGGAUAAUUUGAUAAGAACAAACAAUAGGGAUCUUUUAGUUUUCUAUGAACCACUUUAUUUCCUGCCAUAUGGGGCUUUUUGGAUUACCUAUACAGUCCCCUACGCGCUUUAGGUGUUGUAAUCGGGAGGCGUUAGAAAUAAAGUGGUUCAUAUCGGCAAAGUGGGCAUUUAUGCCUCUCGCAAUAUCCGCCUCGUCUUGAAUUUGGAGCGUGAGGUGCCCCUCCUUAUAUAAGGACAGAGCCUUUGCCACAAUCAUGGAGAUUUUUCUGUCGCAGAGAGCGAAAUGACGUUCAGAAAACCGCCACUCCUUGGACGCAAGCAUAUCUUGCCAUUGCUCACGUUCCGCACUGUCCACAGCCGCCCAAAGGUCAUUUUGGGAGAUCUCCCCUUCGACCACCGAAGAGGAAGAAGGGACUUCCACGGGUGGAUUCCCGGGAACCUGUGGUAGCGUCCCCGGAUCUAACUGUAACAAGGGGUCUACUGUGCUCCACUGUAAAAAAGGCUCCACAGCGCUCAAGAGUUCAUUUACUGGCAUCAUUAAAGUUUUGGUUUCUUUUUGAACUGCUCCCCCCAACAAGAGGAAAGACUUGUUUGUUGUAAAUAGCUGGUUGGGUUUACCAAUCAAGAAAGCAAAUAGGACUCUUGGGAACAAGAGGAUGUGUGAGACUUUAUUUAUUUUCCGAACCAGGUACGUGGUCCUUCCCUGAAAUGUAUUAACACGGUUUCACUUUGAUGCGUGAAAACAGCCAGGUAUAAAUCCACUCAAAGUUUUUAUCCUUCUCGAGCUUCGAUUUCAUACCUUAAAGGAGAUUCGAGAAAAGAUAGAAUAGGAAGACGUGUUUCCAGAACAAACAAGAUACGGGUUGAGAGGGGGAAGUUAGCAAAGUUAGACAAGAUUGGAAUGGGCAUAGGAACAUGUAUUGAUGUACCAGAUCGGCUAAUGCUCCCAGGUUGAUGCGAAGUAUUCCACCAGUUGACUGAAGACUUAAUUAUUGGUAUAUCGAUCGGUCCAGCACGGAUUGAAAUAGGAGCCGGUUCGACAGGAAGCUUUUGAAAACGCAGUGCACCCAGGUAAAUCAGAAACGAGAUGAAUACAGAGGUUAAACAAGCAUCCCACACCCAAAAGGUGCCCCACGUAGGUCUUCCCCGAAACCCCCUAGUAACUAAGGUAAACAACGUAAAAAAAGCACCCAUUUCUGUACCGGUUCCGGAAGAGCGAAGAAAAAGGGGAUGUUUUGUUAAUAGGAAUAAGAAAGUGUUUAUAGCCGUAGCUAUAUAAACAAGAAUACUCAUCCGAGCCGCAGGAACAUGUACAUAAAGAAUACGAGAAUUUACACCUUGUUGAAGAUCUAAUGGUGCUACCCGAAGACUUAAAUGAAUAGCCAUCGCUGUUAAGAACAACCGAGAUCCAAUGAAAAUUAGCGCAUAGCUUCUGGUCUUUGACAUAAAAAAAGAAGGUUGUAAUAAC